AGCCUCGUCUAAAGCAGCUCUGGGAUUUCGACAGAGCUGGGCUCAGAAGCCAGUUGUUGGCGCUGUCCGUGGUGCUGAGGAAUUCCCGGCUGCCGGCAGAAUGAGCUCCAAAUCAGCAAUCUGCAAACUGCUCUUACUGAUGCAGAAACCCAGCUAAAGUUGCUCCUUUCCUUCACAUCCACAGUUAGUAUUUUCCGGUGUGUAAGAGGGGAUUCAAGCAACACACUGUGGACGAUGGUGAUGGUAUUGCCAGCGGAGUGGGCUUUAAGCUACAGCAUGCUGUUGCUGUUUGUGAUCCUCAGAGCCUAGCCAAAUCACCUCUACUGCCGUAGCAAACACUGUGUAAGUGAACUCAUGUGUGGAGGAGGCGUAAUCAGCCGGGAAAUUUCAUAGAAGGAUCUAAGAAAAUGCUAAAAAUAAGUUCAACAUGAUUCUGCUACUGGGGUCUGGAUUUCUACAGGACCAGCUUUGCUUCUUGCUUUGAAUUCUGAAGACAGGUCCAAAGCAAAUUUCUUAUAUGUGUCUGCUGUGUUUCUUUCUGGAAGGGCGGGAGACUGCUUCUUUACUGUGUUUUGAAAUGGGAGGUAGAGAGAAUGGAUUGCCUUUAAUUCAUGCCUAAAAAAUGUAUUCUUUGGGUAAUUAAAGAGGAACUGCUUUCUUAAAACAUACCUGACCUUUUAGUUCAUUUUGGGCUGUGACCCCUACCACCACCAUUAACCUCCAGAGUGAUUAGCCUACCCCUCUUGUAUUCCCAUGGAAGGAGCUGAGUAUAUUUAAUAUUAGGAGCACAUCCAGAAGUCUUUGAAGAGGGGGAUGGCUCUUCAUAUUCAUGAAGCUUGCAUACUUCUGUUGGUCAUCCCUGGAUUGGUCACCUCUGCUGCUAUCAGUCAUGAAGACUAUCCUGCUGAUGAAGGUGACCAGAUCUCCAGUAAUGACAAUCUGAUCUUUGAUGACUAUCGAGGGAAAGGGUGUGUCGAUGACAGCGGCUUUGUAUACAAGUUGGGAGAACGAUUUUUCCCUGGGCAUUCCAACUGUCCAUGUGUCUGUGCUCUAGAUGGACCUGUUUGCGACCAACCAGAAUGCCCUAAAAUUCACCCAAAGUGUACUAAAGUGGAACACAAUGGAUGCUGUCCUGAGUGCAAAGAAGUAAAAAACUUCUGUGAAUAUCACGGGAAAAAUUACAAAAUCUUGGAGGAAUUUAAGCCCUCUCCAUGUGAAUGGUGUCGCUGUGAGCCCAGCAAUGAAGUUCACUGUGUUGUAGCAGACUGCGCAGUUCCUGAGUGUGUCAACCCAGUCUAUGAACCAGAACAAUGUUGUCCUGUCUGCAAAAAUGCUUCAGAACCCUAGCGCUGCUUGAUUCCCUUCAGUUGCAGAUAUUGGUGGCUGGAAUCAAGGGCCAGGCCCCAGAAAAGUUUCACAGAAGGGACAUACAUAGGGCCAAAUUGGACCCUCCGAUUCACACCGGGUAUCUCUGAGAUGUGUGGUCCAAACUGCUUUGCAGGAACGACGAUAAUUCCAGCUGGCAUUGAAGUGAAAGUGGACGAAUGUAACAUCUGUCAUUGUCACAACGGGGACUGGUGGAAGCCUGCUCAGUGUUCGAAACGUGAAUGCCAAGGCAAGCAGACUGUGUAGGACAAACUUCCACCCAAUGAUGAGUUCUUAGGAAAGGAUGCUAUGGCUUCAACACUGCACAUGUUUAACACAAAACAAAACAAACAAACUCCUGCCAGCUACAACAGGGUCACCAGCAAAACUUUCUAGGGUUGACAAAAGUGAAUAUUUUCCUAAGAGGAAAUUUCUUUCUCUCUUGCUAUAUAAAAUAUAUAUAGUAUAUAGCUAUCUAAAUCGCUUUUGUAUUUACCAAUGCUUGAUGGUGACUUGACGACUGGAUUGCUGGAACAAAAAGAAAGAAAUAGCCUUGCACAGGCUCCUUCCCUGGUAAUGCCUCUGACCUACCAGCUCACUGUCCCCUGGUUUACUUCAUUUUUACUCUUCUGUACAUUGUACAUGGCAUUGUUCUCCUGUAAUAUUUGUUUUUUCACUUUUAGAGUCUAAGGGGCUAAAUUUGACUGCACAGUAAAGUUUUGAGUUGUGUAAAAAAAAAAGUUUGGUAAAGGAAUGUCAGGGGAAAUAUCUUUCCCGAGCUGGGAAACACAAGAGCAUCCAGUCAAUUGCUCCCCUAGGGUGAAUCAUGCCCUGUAGACUAAGGAAAGAGGGGUGGGCACAUAGACGGGCCUAUUGCUGGACAGGGUUGGGAACAAGUACUUUGUCCAUUACGUGGGGGCUCACAAUUUAAUUCUUACAAACCACACAUUUCAUAUGGAAAACCUCGAAACUGCCAAUCAAAAUCUAUUACGUAAAGAACACCAUAAGCUCAACUAAAGAAUCCAAAGAGAGACAGAUCUUUAAAAUUGUAGCAUUAAUCAUCAGACUUUUUCAUGAUGUGAAAUUUGAGUUUGGUUUGUAGCUAAACACACUCUAAACUCACUGUCAUCAGGCAAUAUAAAUACCAGAACCAGGGUGAGAAAACCCACUGUGAAUCCAAAUCCUUAUGAACAUCUCUGGCUUUUGAGUUCAGAUUUGGCUAAAAGUCAGUAGUACACACUGGCAGUUUUUGUGGUUCGGGACUGUGUUUGCCAUGUUGUAGUAACAACCACUCAGCCCUAUGUCUGAAACACAGAUUCAGGACACCCUUUCCACCUCAAGUGCUGAUUUAAAUUAAAGAUUAGGGUAGAGUGAGUCUUGCACAAUACAAUUCCAUUUGUUGAACAUUUUUUAAAAUGUAUAUAUUAGAUACUGAAAAAUUAAAGUGAACCUUUGAAGAGUCUCUAGGUUGCCCUGGUAAUGCUGCUAGUAUAGUAACAGAAAAAACAAAACACACAGGGUAUCUGAUGCCACCUCGAUUCAAGUGCAAAAUUAACAAUUCUGAAACCACAUGGCAUAGUUAGUCGCUUAUUCCAUGCUCCUGCCCUAAAAACCCUGGCACAGAUCUGAUAGGGUCCUUGAAGAGACUUUACAGUUGUCUUUAUUAUCAAUGUUCUUUCUUUUUCUGCUCCCCCAACCUGGGCUUUGCCAUAGCUCCUGUGGAGAGCCAUAUUCUAGAGCAAGGUGUCUCAAUCUUAGUAGGAUUGACAUUUGGGGCCAGAUCAUUAUUCGUUGGUGGGGGCUGUCCUGUGUGCUUUUAGGAUGUUUAGCACCAUCACUGGCCUCUAUCCACUAGCAACAUCCCAGCAACUGGUGACAACCAAAUUUCUCCAGACAUUGCCUAAUGUCCCUAAGGAGUGGGAGUGAGGGGCCUAAUUUCACCUCGUUGAGAACCAGUGGUCUAGAAUAAUCAGUAUAGAGUGGUUUCUGGCAGGGGACACAGUAGGCAAGCUCUAGCAGCACCUGUGGCUUUUGUGAGCUUCUGAUCCCUAUGGGACAUACACAGUCAGCAUUUCCAAGGGGUCAGUCUUCUCCAUAGAGAGUGAGGCUUCUAAUGCUAUAGGCCCACCCUCAGGAAACAUAUUUUUUUGAGUCUUGUCAACUGGUUUUUCAUUUAAAAUUGUCAGCCUCUCCUCCCUGGAAGCAUCUGCUGUCAUCAAGAAAGAGUUGUCAUUUCCAAAAUUAACGUGCUGACGAGUCAGACCUGACAUUCUUAUGCACACUGUGCUUGCGUUAUGAUACAAAUAGCCAUGCCGGCACCAUCCCGAGGAAGAGCAUCAAGCCACCUUCCCUUAGAACACCAAUUUGCAGCAAGGUUGGUGCCUUUCAUUUGCCACCAUGGAUACAUCAUAUAGACAGUCAUGAAUCAUUCAUGAGCAAUGCUGCAUGAUUUAUGUCUGCACUCAAAAGUAAAGGAAUUCCACACUUUAGCUUAUGUCUAGACAGAGAUGUAUUAUAGAGCUUUCUUUGCCCCGAGGUUGCCUGUUGCCAACUUCAAAAAUCCACACUCUUGGAAAGAAAUAAUAAUAAUAAAUGACAGGAAUAAGGUUUGAAACUCAGAAAAUAUCAUUAAUAGAGCCAUGCAGCAUAGUACCUUAUCUAUUAUUAAGGAGUUACUAUGUCCUUUUUUAGAAAACAGAAAGAGAGUACAACUGGGAAGCUGAAGUGCAGAAAUUUUGCAUCAAAGCAUUGGCACAGCGAGAGUCACAGCAAGAAUUUACUAGAAUUGAAUGGGACAUCCAUUAAGGAUCUCUCUUCAGAGAGUUUGCAGAAAGCAGGCUGUUCUGUGGCCUCUGAUAACCAGCUAGAGAGAGGGAUUUUUAUGGUUGGUUUUGUUGUUGUUGGAUUUUCUUUUUCUCAAAGUUUCACUGCAGGCUGUUUCCUUUAAGAUUUUGUAGCACUGACAUUUUUCCCCCUUUAGGGAGAGAUGAACCUAUACUGUGACAAUUUCUCAUAAACUGAUAAACAUUUUACAACUUCCUUCUACCCAGGUCAUUGAGAAAUUCUUUCCAGACUCUGAACAACAGAGCUCUGGUCUCAUCUGUUGUUUGUUUCUUGUGAAGUCUUUGUUUGCAGCCACACUGUCAUCUCUGUACUCCUAUUUCUCCUCCGCCUUUGGUUCUCGGCUUUAACAACAGCUAUGUUAAAAUAAGGGAUCAACAUCUUGUUUGUCAGCUGAUGCCUAUUAAAAACGAUUCAGUUUCUAAAAUCUUUGAAAAAUGGCGUGCCUGAAAACUAGUGAGAAAAAAAAAAAACCUAAACACUAAACUGUAAAAAGGGGAUUCUAGCAACAAUAUUUGAUGUGUAAAAGAAUAUAUUAUUAAAAAAUUAUUUUGUUAAAUAUAAAGUGUGUUAACCAGCAAA